rnacentral:lncRNA from 1 species
CACUGGACUGAGACACAUACCCCCUGGAAAUAUGAUGUAUCCGCUCUGACCUGAGAACACCUGGAGAUCUCCCGGGAUGAGUUGGAGAGGGUCGAUGGGGAGAGGAAGGUCUUGUCUGGACCCUCAGGACUCAACCAUGGAGGGAUGGAAACAAUGUGUCCAAAUGUGAUAAAUAUAUAUGUAUGUUUUUACAACAAUGACAUGAUCAGGUUCUAACAUAGAGCUCUAAUUGUGUUUUACGUGGGUGACAGCUCUAUGUUACCAUACGCAGACCAUUCAUACAGAAUUUAUGCAUCAGCAUCUGGAAAUAAUCUGUUUUGUCAGAAGCUCUUUUAGCUUGUUUUCAUAUUUGCUUCUAUAUUUCUUUACUAUUUAUUUUUUAAUCUUUGCUCUUUCUGUUCUUUUCUUGUAGUUUAUCAAACACCUUUCCUCUAAGUGAACACCAGGGGGCGCAGGAGGACACUGAUGCUCUUUUUACCUAAACAGCAGCUGUUCGGUCUUCUUCUGUGGUGGUUUCUUACCAUGCACAAUCCCAUUAUUUACUUUUGUAGUAAAUUUUAAAGAAACAUUCUUUAAUACAUUUGUUAGAUUUUCUGCAAAUGAAGUUUUAGAGUGUAGAUGCUGAGUGACAGCAGUGGGAGAUUAAAGUCACAUAAUCCAGCAUUAAAAGUAGCCCCAUAGAGGCUGACUGAGCUGUUUCAGUAACAGAAACACUAAAGUCUGCAUCAGUUCUAGCUUUUGACACAUCUGGGUGUGAAAUGGUCUCCAGCUCAACGUGACUCAAAAGCAGAAGAAGUGCUCAACAGUUCCUUAGAGAAAAGAAAGACUUUGACAAGACUGAUGCAAAUCAGGAAGUGGUUUGCCCACUAAUUACAGGAAGUAGAAACGCCAGUAAAUGCUCAAGUUUAGAAGGAUGGGAAGUAAAGGGGCGAUGAAGGGAAGAGGAGCGACGGGCGACUCGAAGUGGAUCCGGAUGUUCUUACUGGUCAUGAUGUCUACAGGAGUCAUUUGUGGAGAUCUUCUCUACACCAUCAGAGCUGGAGAUGAUGUCACUUUGUCUUGUGAAAAUGUGAUUAACGGUCACAGAAACUGUAACACCACCACCUGGAACUACAAUAAACCAGGAGGAGCAGCACAAGAGCUGGUUGGUCAUGGCCAGGUUAAAUGCAACAGAUCAGACUCACUGAGUCUAGCAGGAAACUGUUCUCUGGUUCUGAGGAACAUCUCAGCUGAAGAUGCUGGUUUAUACACCUGCAGACAGUAUGAAAGAGAAGGAGAUAGUACAUCACGUAGUGAUGCUCCUGUUUACCUCUCCGUUGUUACCCUGAGAGAACAAACAGAGCAGAACAAGGUGACGUUCACCUGCUCUGUGUCGCCGUACGAUGAAUGCAGACGUAAAGUGAAGUGGUUGUUUAAGGUUAACGAUGUGGAGAAAGAUCAUCCUGAUAUAAAGACAUCAUCUCCAUCUUCCUGCUCUGCUGCUGUGACCUUUCAGACCUCCACCUACGUUUACUCAUCAAGGUUUAAGUUAUUCAAAUGUGAAGUAGAGACAGAAAACAAACAGCAGCUUUUUACCUUCAGCUCUGGUCCAACAGGAGGGAAAACCAACACGACCGACUCUGCAGGUGGAAGCGGAGCUGCAGACCGAGGGUGGACCUGGGUGUACGUCGGGGUGGGCGUGGCCACCGUGGCCUUAAUCAUAGGCCUCGCACUCGUCAUACUCAAGAGAAAUCAAGUUUUACAGCAGAAAGGCCCAAAACAUUCCAGUGGGGGCACGACCUCCGACCCUGACGUGGCUCCGUGUGCCUCAGAACAAGAACAGGUUGAAGCUGAAGGUGAAGCUGCCUACGCCUCCAUCAGCUACACCAAGAAACCCAACAGGAGCAGCAGGGAGAUUAAUGUUGACGUUGAUGUCACUUACAGCGUGGUGAAAGCUCCGCCCACUGAUCCCAACAGCCUCUAUGCUUCAGUCGUAGAAAAACCUAAAUAAUAAAUAAUAAAACUCUGCUGGUCUGAUAGCAAAGCCUCAUCAGUUAAUGGAAGAUGUUUUUCAUGGUUUUUGUUUAUUUUAAAGCUUUGUUUUCUUUUAGCGUCAUCUUUAAAGUAACUCAUCAGUAUUUAACCCGGACUGUAUUAUGUAACAGUUUGAUAUUUAAUUAGACUUUUUACUUUAAGCGAUGGGCGUGACAGGAACAUGUUCAGAUGUCAUGAAGGAUGUGAUUCAGCAGAGCAGCUGUGAGAUGUAAAAAUCCAACUCAUGAAGAAACUUGUUGUCACGGAGACGCAGGAUGAGUGACAGCUCUAAAGAUGCUUUUUACAGUCAUGCAUGUUUUCUUUUCACCUCUUCUUACACACAUACACAUGUAUUUAUGCAUGUAAUGUUUUAGACUUAUUUUGUAUUUUUAACAGAUUCAGAUGCAAUAUUUUGACAUUUUCUUUUAUUUUUUUUUUGUUUUGUUUAAAUGCUCAUUUUCUUGUAAAAGUCUUAAUGCUUCAGAUGGUUCAGUUAUUGAUAUGAUGACACCUGCUGGUAAAAUGGCAUCCAUAAUAAAGACACAUCAGUUUGUUUCACAUAAAUCUUAAUUAUUUUCUGUCAGAUUUUUUACUUUGCAUAUUUAUCUAACUAAUUAUGUACAAUAUAAUAUAUAUUUAAUAAACACAGUUGUAUAGUAUUUGUUUUUUAUGUUUCCUUUUUAAGUUCCUUCUGAUAAAUUUGCUACAUUUUCAUUUUUUUAUCAAACAUCUUUGCACACGGAUAUUUUUAAGAGUAGCGGAAAGACAAUAUAAGCCUUUGUGAAUUAUUUUAAUGACAAAUUUGAUCAUGUUGGUCAGAAAUCAAGGAAACUUUUUUUUCAGUGGUUUCCAAAGUAGGGGUCAGGACCCACUGAGGGAUACUAAAUGCUAGACUGUUGGUGUCAUUGAAUGAUCAACUAAAAUAAAACUAAAGAGUCAGCAAAAAACUGUUAAUUUUCAUAAUAACAGUCAAUAAUAUAUGAUAAUAAAAAUGAUAACCAAGUUUAGCAACCAUUUGACAUGAGAUAUUCAGCUAAAAUACAGUGUAGCAAAAUAUGUAAUAUAUGUAAAGGUUCUGUGAAGCUAAACAUUAUUUCAAUUUAAUUUAAUUUAAUUUAAUUUAAUUUAAUUUAAUUUAAUUUAAUUUAAUUUAAUUUAAUUAACAAUGACCUUCCGAUCCAGACAGUGGCGCUGUUGCUGCUAUGUAGCAACAUUUUACUAAUCGGAAGUUGUUUGCUGACGUUUCCGCGUCACUCCGUUUCCAAGCUGCUGUUAUGGUGGAAGGGUCGGGAAUUUGGUGCAUUUCUUUCUCCAUAUUGGAAAACUUAGCCCCAGCUGUAUUUUUGUACUAACUUUGAUCAAAAGACAGGAGUGAAUGGUAUCUGUUCGGUAAGUAGGAGACGCAGAAUGACGUUAGACAGAGAUGCUAAAGGGUAAUUAGCUGUUUGCUAAAUGUCGGCGACGACACCGGCAUCGGCUAGCUUCCAAACAACUUCUCUAUUAUUAUUUUUUAUGUUUAAAUACUUCAAAUGCAGCGGUGAGCAUGUGUACUUUAGUCUGUUGUUUUAACCUAACCGCUAUGUUUUUGGCGCUGCGGUUAGCAUCUAGCAUGAGCUAACUGUGAGAGCGACGCCUUCGCGGGUUGUUUCUCUUUGACUUGUUUACUGUUUGUGACGCCGGUUUGAGGUUG